ensembl:lncRNA
AAUGUUUCGUGUUCAUAGUGCAUUCAUUACUCUUAUGGUUUUAAGCUUGUGAACAUUAGUGCUAUGUGCAGUCUAUGUGCUGCUUUUAUGCAGUUUAACUCUGUUCUAACAUUUAGAAUCAAAAUCAAGAUCCUCCCUCCUGUGCCGACACCGGUUAUUCCAGAUUUCAUCCCUUAUCAACCAGAGAGUCAGGAGUCACUGGAGAGAAAGGAGGAGGUGCAUGAGCUGACGCUGCACCAGCUACAUCCAGAGGGCAAGUCUGUCCCUGAGGACGCAGAGGAGACCGAUGUCCUCACAGGAGAGUGGGAUAACGGCACUGACGAGGACGUGGAGAACAAGAGGGGUGAUUCAAGGAUGUCAGGAGGAUCCAGUGAUCAGUCUUUGGAUCCCAGCUCUACAGAUGACGCACUGAGGAGCUCCAGAGAAGGAGAAAUGAUGGAUCUUGAACAAUUGGACAACAAGAUCGCUAUGCUGAUAUACAGGAAUGGUUUGGUCUUUGAUGUAAAGACGGACUCGCCUUGAUCUCCAUCUCUCUUGGCAACGGGACAAGAUUUUGGUAUUGGAAGCGUUUCUGUUUUCCGUUUGUAGUCCAAGUAGUAUUGACCAAUCAUGUUUAAGCAGGCUUUGGUUGCAUGUAGGUAAACAGUGGCGAGCAAAAGAGGAAGAACGCAUUGGCCGAAAUGCAAUCUGGGAACCCAUCAGCUAUCGUCUGACCACAAUUUAGCAGAUGUCUGUUUAUAGAGACGUUGUCUCUCAACUUCAACUCCAUUCUCACGUCUCAAGGUGCUAAUCAGACCCGGCACACGGAAAAGGAAGUCUUGGCCCGGAUAAUCUGUUAUCCGGAUAUCCGCUGGCUACACCAGAACCCCAGAAAAAUGGUCCGUUGCCCCCAGUGGCUAAAUUAGAUCAGACCGAUAGCCGAUGGGUUACGAGAUUGGACUGGCCUCAAAAUGGAUUUAACUGCUUUUACUGCCUCAUAGCACAAAAUUGCACAAACACAUCAAGGGUCGACAUAUUUGUUGACUUAUACUAAAGACUGGACGAUAACUUUUCUGGUCCUAACAGUUCCAUCUUUUUCAACGUAUAUGUCUUUUUGUAAUGUUAACUGAAAAAGGAUGCUGAUGUAUCUACUUAUGAUGAAAAUAUUUGUUUAAUGUUCAUGCAUGGUAAUUUUGGCUGGUGACGCCAGUAUAUGAAAGCAAGCACUGGCUUUGUCAACGCACGUUAUCAAUAAACCUUGUUCUAACUGUGUAUAGCAAAUGCUGGUUCAGACUUUUACAGUUUUUACCAUUUGUAGGUGUAUUUGAUGGAUUGACAUGAAAUCUCAUCCAGACAUUCAUGAUCACCAAAGGAUGAAUCCUAAUGACUUUAGUAAUGCUCUGACUUUUCCUUUUGUGCUGCCAGCAGGUCAAGUUUUCACUUAUCCUGUGAAAUAUUUUGAUAUCUACUAGAUGAAUUGGCAUAUUUUAUACAGACAUUCAUGGUCCCCAGAAGAUAAAUCUUAAUGAAUUGGUGAUCCCCUGACAUGUAUUUGUAUGUAUGUGUGUAUGUACACUUGUAUUUACGUGAAUAUUU